rnacentral:rRNA from 1 species
UACGAAGAGGGCGAGCGUUGUUCGGAUUUACUGGGCGUAAAGGGCGCGCAGGCGGCUCAUUUUGUCAGGCGUGAAAGCCCCGGGCUUAACCUGGGAACUGCGUUUGAUACGGAUGGGCUAGAGUUCGGGAGAGGAGAGUGGAAUUCCCAGUGUAGAGGUGAAAUUCGUAGAUAUUGGGAAGAACACCUAUGGCGAAGGCAGCUCUCUGGGACGGUACUGACGCUGAGACGCGAAAGCGUGGGGAGCGAACAGG